rnacentral:rRNA from 1 species
UACGAAGGGGGCUAGCGUUGCUCGGAAUCACUGGGCGUAAAGCGCACGUAGGCGACUUUUUAAGUCAGGGGUGAAAUCCUGGAGCUCAACUCCAGAACUGCCUUUGAUACUGAGAGCUCGAGUCCGGGAGAGGUGAGUGGAACUGCGAGUGUAGAGGUGAAAUUCGUAGAUAUUCGCAAGAACACCAGUGGCGAAGGCGGCUCACUGGCCCGGUACUGACGCUGAGGUGCGAAAGCGUGGGGAGCAAACAGG